rnacentral:rRNA from 1 species
GAGACCCUACGGGGCGCAGCAGUAGGGAAUUUUCGUCAAUGGGCGCAAGCCUGAACGAGCGACGCCGCGUGAGGGAUGAAGGUCUUCGGAUCGUAAACCUCUGUCAGCAGGGAAGAACGGUCACUGUGCUAAUCAGCAGUGAAUUGACGGUACCUGCAAAGGAAGCACCGGCUAACUCCGUGCCAGCAGCCGCGGUAAUACGGAGGGUGCGAGCGUUAAUCGGAAUUACUGGGCGUAAAGCGCUCGUAGGCGGUAUGUCAAGUCAAGGGUGAAAUCC